AUGGAGAGGAACCUGGGAGCUGUGCUGGGGAUUCUGUGGGUGCAGAUUUGCUGGGUGAGAGGAGAUAAUGUCCAGCAGAGUCCUUCAGCUCUGAGUCUCCAUGAGGGAACCAAUCCUGCUCUGAGAUGUUAUUUUUCUACCUCCAUGAAGAGUGUGCAAUGGUUCCGACAGAUUCCCAGGGGCAGCCUCAUCAGUCUGUUCUUCCUGGCUCCAGGAACAAAGGAGAUUGGAAGGUUAAAGUCAACAUUCGAUUCUAAGGAGCGCUACAGCACCCUGCACAUCAGCGGUGCCCAGCUGGAGGACUCAGGCACCUACUUCUGUGCUGCUUUCAGAAAGUCACGGUGCUCUCAGAAAGCUUAA